UACGAACCGUCCAAACGUUAUUCGGAAUUACUGGGCUUAAAGGGUGCGUAGGCGGCCCGGUAAGUUGGGUGUGAAAUCCCUCGGCUCAACCGAGGAAUUGCGCCCAAAACUGUCGGGCUUGAGGGAGAUAGAGGUGAGCGGAACUUAGGGUGGAGCGGUGAAAUGCGUUGAUAUCCUAAGGAACACCGGUGGCGAAAGCGGCUCACUGGGUCUCUUCUGACGCUGAGGCACGAAAGCUAGGGGAG
rnacentral:rRNA from 1 species